rnacentral:rRNA from 1 species
GAUGAACGCUGGCGGUAUGCUUAACACAUGCAAGUCGAACGGUCACUUCGGUGAUAGUGGCGGACGGGUGAGUAACGCGUGAGAAUCUGUCUACAGGUCGGGGACAACAGUUAGAAAUGACUGCUAAUACCGGAUGUGCCUUUGGGUGAAAGAUUUAUUGCCUGAAAAAGAGCUCGCGUCAGAUUAGCUAGUAGGUGGUGUAAGAGACUACCUAGGCUCCGAUCUGUAGCUGGUCUGAGAGGACGAUCAGCCACACUGGAACUGAGACACGGUCCAGACUCCUACGGGAGGCAGCAGUGGGGAAUUUUCCGCAAUGGGCGAAAGCCUGACGGAGCAAUACCGCGUGAGGGACGAAGGCUUUUGGGUCGUAAACCUCUUUUCUCAAGGAAGAUGAUGACGGUACUUGAGGAAUAAGCAUCGGCUAACUCUGUG